GAUGAACGCUGGCGGCGUGCCUAAUACAUGCGAGUCGAGCGAACAGACGAGGAGCUUGCUCCUCUGACGUUAGCGGCGGACGGGUGAGUAACACGUGGAUAACCUACCUAUAAGACUGGGAUAACUUCGGGAAACCGGAGCUAAUACCGGAUAAUAUAUUGAACCGCAUGGUUCAAUAGUGAAAGACGGUUUUGCUGUCACUUAUAGAUGGAUCCGCGCCGCAUUAGCUAGUUGGUAAGGUAACGGCUUACCAAGGCAACGAUGCGUAGCCGACCUGAGAGGGUGAUCGGCCACACUGGAACUGAGACACGGUCCAGACUCCUACGGGAGGCAGCAGUAGGGAAUCUUCCGCAAUGGGCGAAAGCCUGACGGAGCAACGCCGCGUGAGUGAUGAAGGUCUUCGGAUCGUAAAACUCUGUUAUUAGGGAAGAACAAAUGUGUGAGUAACUAUGCACGUCUUGACGGUACCUAAUCAGAAAGCCACGGCUAACUACGUG
rnacentral:rRNA from 1 species